AGCGUACACGGUGGAUGCCCUGGCAGUCAGAGGCGAUGAAGGACGUGCUAAUCUGCGAAAAGCGUCGGUAAGGUGAUAUGAACCGUUAUAACCGGCGAUGUCCGAAUGGGGAAACCCAGUGUGAUUCGUCACACUAUCGUUAACUGAAUACAUAGGUUAACGAGGCGAACCGGGGGAACUGAAACAUCUAAGUACCCCGAGGAAAAGAAAUCAACCGAGAUUCCCCCAGUAGCGGCGAGCGAACGGGGAGCAGCCCAGAGUCUGAAUCAGCUUGUGUGUUAGUGGAACGGUCUGGAAAGUCCGACGGUACAGGGUGAUAGUCCCGUACACCAAAAUGCACAGGCUGUGAACUCGAAGAGUAGGGCGGGACACGUGGUAUCCUGUCUGAAUAUGGGGGGACCAUCCUCCAAGGCUAAAUACUCCUGACUGACCGAUAGUGAACCAGUACCGUGAGGGAAAGGCGAAAAGAACCCCGGCGAGGGGAGUGAAAAAGAACCUGAAACCGUGUACGUACAAGCAGUGGGAGCACCUUCGGGUGUGACUGCGUACCUUUUGUAUAAUGGGUCAGCGACUUAUAUUCUGUAGCAAGGUUAACCGUAUAGGGGAGCCGCAGGGAAACCGAGUCUUAACUGGGCGUUAAGUUGCAGGGUAUAGACCCGAAACCCGGUGAUCUAGCCAUGGGCAGGUUGAAGGUUGGGUAACACUAACUGGAGGACCGAACCGACUAAUGUUGAAAAAUUAGCGGAUGACUUGUGGCUGGGGGUGAAAGGCCAAUCAAACCGGGAGAUAGCUGGUUCUCCCCGAAAGCUAUUUAGGUAGCGCCUCGUGAACUCAUCUUCGGGGGUAGAGCACUGUUUCGGCUAGGGGGUCAUCCCGACUUACCAACCCGAUGCAAACUACGAAUACCGAAGAAUGUUAUCACGGGAGACACACGGCGGGUGCUAACGUCCGUCGUGAAGAGGGAAACAACCCAGACCGCCAGCUAAGGUCCCAAAGUCAUGGUUAAGUGGGAAACGAUGUGGGAAGGCACAGACAGCCAGGAUGUUGGCUUAGAAGCAGCCAUCAUUUAAAGAAAGCGUAAUAGCUCACUGGUCGAGUCGGCCUGCGCGGAAGAUGUAACGGGGCUAAACCAUGCACCGAAGCUGCGGCAGCGACACUAUGUGUUGUUGGGUAGGGGAGCGUUCUGUAAGCCUGCGAAGGUGACCUGUGAGGGUUGCUGGAGGUAUCAGAAGUGCGAAUGCUGACAUAAGUAACGAUAAAGCGGGUGAAAAGCCCGCUCGCCGGAAGACCAAGGGUUCCUGUCCAACGUUAAUCGGGGCAGGGUGAGUCGACCCCUAAGGCGAGGCCGAAAGGCGUAGUCGAUGGGAAACAGGUUAAUAUUCCUGUACUUGGUGUUACUGCGAAGGGGGGACGGAGAAGGCUAUGUUAGCCGGGCGACGGUUGUCCCGGUUUAAGCAUGUAGGCUGAUUGUCCAGGCAAAUCCGGAUAAUCAAGGCUGAGGUGUGAUGACGAGGCACUACGGUGCUGAAGUAACAAAUGCCCUGCUUCCAGGAAAAGCCUCUAAGCAUCAGGUAACAUUAAAUCGUACCCCAAACCGACACAGGUGGUCAGGUAGAGAAUACCAAGGCGCUUGAGAGAACUCGGGUGAAGGAACUAGGCAAAAUGGUGCCGUAACUUCGGGAGAAGGCACGCUGGUGUGUAGGUGAAGCCCCUGCGGGUGGAGCUGAGACCAGUCGAAGAUACCAGCUGGCUGCAACUGUUUAUUAAAAACACAGCACUGUGCAAACACGAAAGUGGACGUAUACGGUGUGACGCCUGCCCGGUGCCGGAAGGUUAAUUGAUGGGGUUAUCCGUAAGGAGAAGCUCUUGAUCGAAGCCCCGGUAAACGGCGGCCGUAACUAUAACGGUCCUAAGGUAGCGAAAUUCCUUGUCGGGUAAGUUCCGACCUGCACGAAUGGCGUAAUGA
rnacentral:rRNA from 1 species